CGGGAGGGGACAUCAUCUUGACUUCAAAGUCGAAAGAUAAUGCCAACUUUGUUGUCGCUUUGACAUAUUCCCCAUUUCCUUUCCCAAUUUUAUUUAUUUCAUUCUUUCUAAGAGGAUUCAGUAUGCAGUCUUCCUUGUAUAAAUCAAAGAAGACGUCGACAAGAAGAGAAACACAGUUUGUUUCCUUAGGAAUUAACGUUUGUUUGUUGAAGGAAAGCUUCCUCCAAACUUAGCUAAAAUGUUAUCAAAGAAAAAACAAGCAUCUUGCAAACGUCAGUUUCAGUGAAUCUUAUGUUUGAAUCUUA
rnacentral:lncRNA from 1 species